rnacentral:lncRNA from 1 species
AACCUUUUACCAUGAUUCUUUUUUUUGUCUUUUAUGUGAAAUUAUCUCUUGGCAAUCCACAAUUACACUUCCUCAAACCACUAGAAGAUCUACUCGUACUAGAUGAAACGGUGCUUAAAUCCAUCUAAGCAAAAUCCAUACUACUAUUUCACCAUCUUAAACAAUAGUCAACAACUUGUGUUAAACAAUGACAAAAAGGGAAAAAACCCAAAACUUUCACUAAGACAAAUCCUGACAUAAACAAAUAAGAAAUAAAAG